rnacentral:rRNA from 1 species
GACGUAGGGCGCGAGCGUUGUCCGGAUUUAUUGGGCGUAAAGAGCUCGUAGGCGGUCUGUCGCGUCUGCUGUGAAAACUCAGGGCUUAACCCUGAGCUUGCAGUGGGUACGGGCAGACUAGAGUGCGGUAGGGGAGACUGGAAUUCCUGGUGUAGCGGUGAAAUGCGCAGAUAUCAGGAGGAACACCGGUGGCGAAGGCGGGUCUCUGGGCCGUAACUGACGCUGGAGGAGCGAAAGCAUGGGGAGCGAACAGG